rnacentral:rRNA from 1 species
UACGAAGGGAGCUAGCGUUGUUCGGAAUUACUGGGCGUAAAGGGCGCGUAGGCGGGGUUCCAAGUCGGGGGUGAAAUUCCAGGGCUCAACCCUGGGACGGCCUUCGAUACUGGGAGCCUGGAGAUCGGGAGAGGUGAGUGGAAUUCCGAGUGUAGAGGUGAAAUUCGUAGAUAUUCGGAGGAACACCAGAAGCGAAGGCGGCUCACUGGCCCGAGACUGACGCUGAGGCGCGAAAGCGUGGGGAGCAAACAGG